ACGCAAUAAGCACUCCGCCUGGGGAGUACGGUCGCAAGACUAAAACUCAAAGGAAUUGACGGGGGCCCGCACAAGCAGCGGAGCAUGUGGUUUAAUUCGAAGCAACGCGAAGAACCUUACCAGGGCUUGACAUCGUCUGAAUAUCUUAGAGAUAAGAGAAACCCUUCGGGGCAGAUAGACAGGUGGUGCAUGGUUGUCGUCAGCUCGUGUCGUGAGAUGUUGGGUUAAGUCCCGCAACGAGCGCAACCCUUGUCAUUAGUUGCUAACAAGUUAAGUUGAGCACUCUAAUGAGACUGCCGGGGACAACUCGGAGGAAGGUGGGGAUGACGUCAAAUCAUCAUGCCCCUUAUGUCCUGGGCUACACACGUGCUACAAUGGCUAGAACAAAGAGAAGCAAAGCCGCAAGGUGGAGCAAAUCUCAAAAACUAGUCCCA
rnacentral:rRNA from 1 species